GGCAACGGUGCACGUCCCCUUUAAGACAGUCUUGGAAUAAUUAAUGACGUCGCGCUGUAAACACGACUGACGCUCAGCUGCGUGGCCAAAGCAUCCACCAAGAGCCCAAGACCUCUCCAGGUUCCCUGUGUUUAUUUCUCGACGGGACCACUGAAAGGCACUAAAAUAAACUGCGGUUCACCUCGACUCUCAUAUGCGGUCUCCAAAACCAAGACGACGCAGCAUUUGUUCUACUAAGUGCCAUGGCUAAGAACACGGACACCCCCUCCUCUUACUAUGCAGCGUUUGUUCUACUAAGUGGCAAGGCUAGGAACAAGGACACCCCCUCCUCUUACUAUGGUGAGCCGCGCAAGUUUGACCCAAAGUUCAGAGGACCUGUUCACAAAAGGAGCUGCACUGAUGUGGUUUGCUGUGUUAUCUUCAUCAUUGUCAUUCUCGGCUACAUCGCUCUGGGUACCGUGGCCUGGAUUCAUGGCGACCCCAGGAAGGUGAUCUAUCCAACCGACAGCCACGGUCAGUUCUGUGGCCACAAGGACACCCCCAAUGCAAACAAAGCCAUAUUAUUCUACUUCAACAUGUUGAAAUGUGCCAAUCCUGCAGUUUUGAUUAAUCUCCAGUGCCCUACAACCCAGCUCUGUGUCUCCAAGUGCCCUGACAGAUUCUCAACUCUCCUGGAUGCCUGGGGUACCAAUAACUGGGAGUAUUACAAGCAAUUCUGCAAGCCGGGCUUCAAGAUUAGCAGUAAGUCAGUUGAAGAAGUCAUACGGGAUGAAGACUGCCCAUCUAUAAUCGUGCCAAGCAGGCCUUUCCUUCAGCGGUGCUUCCCUGAUUUCAUUACAAGAAAUGGAGUGUUAACUGUAGCCAAUCAGACCAUCUUCAAAGACGGUAACAACAAACGGAGAAGUGUCAAUGACCUAAAAGAUGCUGCCAAAGGUAUCGCCAAUCUGCUGAAUGCCAAAGAAGUUGGCAUGAAGAUCUUUGAGGAUUAUGCAAAUUCCUGGAACUGGAUCCUCAUUGGUCUGGUUAUAACCAUGGCGGUCAGUCUGGUCUUUAUCUUGCUGCUGCGCUACACUGCCGGCGUUUUCCUGUGGCUCAUUGUCUUGAGUGUGAUCGCUGCGAUCGGCUACGGUAUCUGGCACUGCUACUGGGAGUACAGCUCUCUGAGCGGGAAGCCAGGCGCUAAUGUCACCAUCUCUGAUAUCGGCUUCCACACAGACUUGAGUAUUUUCCUUCAGCUCAGACAGACGUGGCUUAUCUUCAUGAUCUGUCUUUCUGUGAUUGAGGCCGUCAUUGUGGUUAUACUGAUAUUUCUGAGGACAAGGCUGCGCAUCGCUAUUGCAUUACUGAAGGAGGGAAGCAGGGCCAUCAGCUACAUCAUGUCCACUCUCUUGUACCCGAUCAUCACCUUUCUCCUUCUGGCCAUUUGCAUCGCUUACUGGGUCGUCACAGCAGUCUUCUUAGCAUCAUCUGGCAAUGCAGUCUACAAGGUCGCACCUACUGACGAUAAAUGCAUGUAUGCCAACCUCACAUGCAGUCCAAAGACAUUCAGUCAAACCAAUAUUACCAAAGUGUGCCCCGGGUCACAGUGCAUGUUUGCCUUCUACGGUGGAGAAAGUGUGUACCAUCGCUACAUCCUAGUCCUCCAUGUGUGUAACCUGUUCGUGUUCCUCUGGCUGGUCAACUUUACCAUGGCGCUGGGCCAGUGUGCCCUGGCCGGGGCCUUCGCGUCCUACUACUGGGCCCUGAAGAAGCCAAACGACAUCCCUGCAUGCCCCCUCUACUCCUCUUUCAGCCGAGCCAUACGUUACCAUACAGGUUCUCUUGCCUUCGGUUCUCUGAUCCUCUCUGUGGUUCAGAUGUUCCGAAUUGUUCUGGAGUACCUGGAUCACAAACUGAAAGGUUCUCAAAAUGCAUGCGCUCGAUUUGUGCUUUGCUGCCUCAAAUGCUGCUUCUGGUGCCUGGAACAUUUCAUCAGGUUUAUAAACAGAAACGCAUACAUUAUGAUAGCAAUAUAUGGAAAGAACUUCUGCACCUCUUCCAAGGAUGCUUUCUUUCUCUUGAUGAGGAACGUUAUUAGGGUGGCUGUCCUCGACAAGGUGACAGACUUUCUGCUCUUCUUGGGAAAACUGCUUAUUUCAGGAAGUGUUGGUGUUCUUGCUUUUUUUUUUUCACACAUAAAAUACCAGUCAUUCAAGAGGAGACGCCAUCCCUAAAUUACUGCUGGGUCCCUCUUCUGACGGUGAUAUUUGGAUCCUACAUGAUUGCACAUGGCUUUUUAAACGUCUUUGCCAUGUGUGUGGACACGUUGUUCCUGUGCUUUUGUGAAGACCUAGAGAGGAAUGACGGUUCUUCUUCCAGGCCCUACUACAUGUCUCCUGGCCUGCACAAGAUCCUGCGCAAAGGAGAGGAGGGUGCCAAAUUAUGCGCUGCCUCUUGAGCAAUGUGCGGCCACUUUUACUGCUACUUUAACUGCUGACUCUCUCACUCACUUCUCCAUAUCUGCUGUAUGUGUUGGGGUCUGGACAUUUGAGAGCGAGUACUGUAGGGCUAAACAUCAACACUGGAUGAAUCCCAGUCAGGAAUGGCUUGGACAUGAAAGGACAUGCUUUUACUUCGGUUCCUCCCAGAAAAGGCAUGGGCGACUAGAAAAGACCAGUUUCCUUACUCUCUUGAGCCAACUCAGAUACUUGCCUUUUUUUCUGCCACGCUUAUUUUCUUCUCUGUAUUCUCUUCUGACCUCUGCCUUACUGAGAGGGUACAUGCUAACUCGCAGGACGGACGCACAGGCUAAGAUGAAUAUGAUAUGAGCAUUUUUACCCAAACAAACAUAAGGACCUUAAGAUGUACAGAUGCCACUGAUGGACUAUGGCAUAAGGCUUUACCAUUUAAAAAAAAUAAAUAAAUAAAUAAAUUUGGUGGACUUAUGGGGCACACCUCUUGUCGCACUUUGGUCUUCUAGUGUAAAAUCAUGUUUUGUAUGCACUUUGACAUGUGGGAAAAGAACCAUGUGAUUUAUUUCUUCUGUCAAGCAUGAUUAUUUUGCUGGCUGUUGAUAUUUACCAUUGGCUUUAUAUGUUGCUUUGAUCCACCGUAUUUAUACUAACACAGAUCCAAAAAUGGUGUGUAUUUCUGCACUUAGCAAAACCGGUUUCUCUUAUUUUACAUAAUAAAAAAAGAAAAAGAAGGUCACAAUCAUUUCAAAGUUUCCAUUAUAAAGAUCAGCUCACAGAUGUACUGUAAACCAGACAGAGACUUUGUGGGAGGUUAAGACUUCAAAAUACAUUUUAUGGUUUUUGCUUACGAUUUGAAUAGAACAGUUUCCAGGAAACUUCUGAAUGCAGCCACUAGUUUAUGUGCCUAGUUGUGAAAAAAAUAAAAAAAUAAAUUGUUCCUCUUAUUCUGUGGUUUUAGACCUUACUCCAGGAACCUUUUUUGCGAUACAGUUUAUAAAAGGAUGUCAAAGCCAUUUUUGGUAAAUUUUUUUAUUGGAUGGUUCAAAUGUAUUGUAUUGCGAAGUAUAAUACACGCAUCUAUCUGGAGGUUAUUCAGUGUUCUUUUUGUAUAGGAGAAUUUUUUU